GUUGCCUGGGGUUACAUCAAUAAACUUCAGUAAAAUUGUGGUUCUGAUCACCAGGAGGACAAGGGAUGGGUGUUAGGUUGACACUUGCUCAGGUUCUCUAGAAGCAGAGCCAAAGAUGGAGAUUCUUGGGCCAGCCCUGACAGCUUGGGGGUUAAAGUUCAGCACGCUCUGCUUCAGUGGCCUGGGUUCAGUUCCCGGGUGUAGACCUACCACUUGUCUGUGAGUAGUUACUGGAGAAUCCGUGAAGAAGUGAAGGAAUCAGGAUGCGGCCAGCAACAUGUGAUUCCAUCAGAAGUCCAGCCUCCGCCUCAUUCUGAGGACCAUGUUCUCUGACACCCGUCCCAUCCAGAGGUGAGCCUGUGGCCCUUCCCUCGGAGCUGGGCGUGACUCCAACUGCUCUGACAAGACACUAUGGUGGAGUGAUGCUGCGCUGCUUUCCAGCCCCCGGGACCUAGGCCUCCACAUCUGUCAUCGACGCCUCCCUCCUGUCUCAUAGAAAGUGAGGCAGCAGGAGAAAGAACUGUCAUUCACGCAGCCCCUGUUGGGAGAGCCGGGUACAGAGCAGCUCCUUCCGCCGUGGCACUUGUCACUGGAGGCAGAUUCGUAUCAGAAGAGCUGCCUCUCAAAGGCGAUCAGAGUUUAAGCAGAAAGCGUGUGUGAUUUACUAUAUCGAAUAAUGAAAGUAAAACUGAUAAAACAGGUUGAUCUUGGUUUAUGUUAGGCAAAAUUUCCAUUUCUUUAUCAUCAUAUUCUACUUCAUAGAAUGAGCAAAUAUUGAAUCAAAUGUGGAUGGGGG
rnacentral:lncRNA from 1 species